rnacentral:rRNA from 1 species
CCACUAUGCCUAGCCCUAAAUCUUGAUACUUACCCCACCAAAGUAUCCGCCUGAGAAUUACGAGCACAAACGCUUAAAACUCUAAGGACUUGGCGGUGCCCCAAACCCACCUAGAGGAGCCUGUCCUAUAAUCGAUAACCCACGAUCCACCCAACCGCUUCUAGCCAGAGCAGCCUACAUACCGCCGUCGCCAGCCCACCUCCCCUGAGAGCGCAGCAGUGAGCACAAUAGCAUCUAACCGCUAGCAAGACAGGUCAAGGUAUAGCCCACGGAGCGGAAGAGAUGGGCUACAUUUUCUAACCUAGAAAACCCCAACGGAUGAGAGCAUGAAAUUGCUCUCGGAAGGCGGAUUUAGCAGUAAGGCGGGAUAAUAAAGCCCCCCUUAAACCGGCUCUGGGGCACGU